CCUACGGGAGGCAGCAGUCGAGAAUCAUUCACAAUGGGGGAAACCCUGAUGGUGCGACGCCGCGUGGGGGAAUGAAGGUCUUCGGAUUGUAAACCCCUGUCAUGUGGGAGCAAAUUAAAAAGAUAGUACCACAAGAGGAAGAGACGGCUAACUCUGUUCCAGCAGCCGCGGUAAUACAGAGGUCUCAAGCGUUGUUCGGAAUCACUGGGCGUAAAGCGUGCGUAGGCUGUUUCGUAAGUCGUGUGUGAAAGGCGCGGGCUCAACCCGCGGACGGCACAUGAUACUGCGAGACUAGAGUAAUGGAGGGGGAACCGGAAUUCUCGGUGUAGCAGUGAAAUGCGUAGAUAUCGAGAGGAACACUCGUGGCGAAGGCGGGUUACUGGACAUUAACUGACGCUGAGGCACGAAGGCCAGGGGAGCGAAAGGGAUUAGAUACCCCAGUAGUC
rnacentral:rRNA from 1 species